rnacentral:misc_RNA from 1 species
GAUGAAGAACGUAGCGAAAUGCGAUACUUGGUGUGAAUUGCAGAAUCCCGUGAACCAUCGAGUCUUUGAACGCAAGUUGCGCCCGAAGCCAUCAGGUUGAGGGCACGUCUGCCUGGGCGUCACAUAUCGUUGCUCGAUGCCUAUCGCAUUGCGAUAGGACUUAGGGCGAAUGAUGGCUUCCCGUGAGCGUUGUUGCCUCGCGGUUGGUUGAAAAUCGAGUCCUUGGUAGGGUGUGCCAUGAUAGAUGGUGGUCGAGUUAGCACGAGACUGAUCAUGUGCAUGCUCCCCAAAAUAUGGCCUCUGUGACCCACACGCGUCUUUUGACGCUCAUGACGAGACCUCAGGUCAGGCGGGGCUACCCGCUGAAUUUAAGCAUAUCAAUAAGCGGAGGA